rnacentral:rRNA from 1 species
AUUGAACGCUGGCGGCAUGCUUUACACAUGCAAGUCGAACGGUAACAGGCCGCAAGGUGCUGACGAGUGGCGAACGGGUGAGUAAUGCAUCGGAACGUGCCCAGUCGUGGGGGAUAACGCAGCGAAAGCUGCGCUAAUACCGCAUACGAUCUAUGGAUGAAAGCGGGGGACCGUAAGGCCUCGCGCGAUUGGAGCGGCCGAUGUCAGAUUAGGUAGCUGGGGGGGCAAAGGCUCACCAAGCCAACGAUCUGUAGCUGGUCUGAGAGGACGACCAGCCACACUGGGACUGAGACACGGCCCAGACUCCUACGGGAGGCAGCAGUGGGGAAUUUUGGACAAUGGGCGCAAGCCUGAUCCAGCAAUGCCGCGUGCAGGAAGAAGGCCUUCGGGUUGUAAACUGCUUUUGUACGGAACGAAAAGGCUCUGGUUAAUACCUGGGGCUCAUGACGGUACCGUAAGAAUAAGCACCGGCUAACUACGUGCCAGCCGCCGCCGUAAAAC